rnacentral:rRNA from 1 species
GAUGAACGCUAGCGGCAGGCCUAAUACAUGCAAGUCGAACGGUGUCUUCGGACAUAGUGGCGCACGGGUGCGUAACACGUAUGCAACCUACCUUACAUUGGGGGAUAGCCUUUCGAAAGGGAGAUUAAUACCGCAUAAGACAGUAGCUGGGCAUCCAGCAGCUGUUAAAGAUUUAUCGAUGUAAGCUGGGCAUGCGUCCAAUUAGCUAGUUGGUGAGGUAACGGCUCACCAAGGCAAUGAUUGGUAGGGGAACUGAGAGGUCAAUCCCCCACACUGGCACUGAGAUGCGGGCCAGACUCCUACGGGGGUCAGCAGUAGGGAAUAUUGGGCAAUGGACGCAAGUCUGACCCAGCCAUGCCGCGUGCAGGAUGAAGGCGUUAUGAGUUGUAAACUGCUUUUAUACAGGAAGAAACGACUCUUGCGAGAGGCAUUGACGGUACUGUAUGAAUAAGCACCGGCUAACUCCGUGCCAGCAGCCGCCGUAAUAC